CUAAGGAGAGAGACACUAUACUCAUUUUGGCUAUCCACCAAAUGAAGCUCUAUACUCUAAGAAGAGAGACGCUAUACUCAUUUUGGCUAUCCACCAAAUCUUCUUAUACUCUAUUCGCGGCUGUAUACACGCGCGUACACACGGGCCACGUCGCCUCGGCCUUUUCCGCCGUCCAAUCGCCAUCGCGGGCGUGUGCGCGCUCGGGCUGGCUCCGCACGGGUCUCCCUACCGCGGCGGCUCUGGUGCGAGACGCGCGUCUUCCUCCCGUUCGACGCCGCCUCUGAGGAGCUUCGCACGCGCCGCCGCCGGGCAGCAGCACGGCGCGUCCCACGCGGCGCCCAUGCGCGAGUACAGCACGGUUCGCCGUUUGUUCCUCGGCUGAGAAUCAAGUGUUCCGCCGCUGCCGUAGCGCUUGCUCCGCCGCCUCCCAAACCAUCUCGAGCUCUGAGCCGGCCUUUUCCGCCGUCCGAUCGCCAUCGCGGGCGUGUGCGCGCUCGGGCUGGCUCCGCACGGGUCUCCCUACCGCGGCGGCUCUGGUGUGAGACGCGCAUCUUCCUCCCGUUCGAUGCCGCCUCUGAGGAGCUUCGCGACGCGCCGCCUCUGAGCAGCAGUACGUCGCGUCCCACGCGGCGCCCAUGCGUGAGUACAGCACGGUGACUCUCGAGCUCUCUCGGUCCGCCUGCCAUCCGAGCCCUCGUCACCUCGAUUUUGCGCAGGUUCACCGUUUGUUCCUCGGCUGAGAAUCAAGUGUUCCGCCGCUGCCGUAGCGCUCGCUCCGCCGCCUCCAGAACCAUCCCGAGCUCCAAGCCGGCCUUUUCCGCCGUCCGAUCGCCAUCGCGGGCGUGUGCGCGCUCGGGCUGGCUCCGCACGGGUCUCCCUACCGCGGCGGCUCUGGUGCGAGACGCGCGUCUUCCUCCCGUUCGACGCCGCCUCUGAGGAGCUUCGCGAUGCGCCGCCACCGGGCAGCAGCACGGCGCGUCCCACGUGGCGCCCAUGCGCGAGUACAGCACGGUGACUCUCGAGCUCUCUCGGUCCGCCUGCCAUCCGAGCCCUCAUCACCUCGAUUUUGCGCAGGUUCACCGUUUGUUCCUCGGCUGAGAAUCAAGUGUUCCGCCGCUGCCGUAGCGCUCGCUCCGCCGCCUCCCGAACCAUCCCGAGCUCUGAGCCAUCCCGCACGCUCAUCCUGCGUUCCCGAGUCGUCCUCCCAAGGGCCCUCCAACGCUGCUUGCACACGCGUGCUCGCGAAGGCUCCCGAAGGAAGAGGCACCAUGCCGCGCCAUAGUAAGGCCGCCUGAGCCAUCCCUCGCGCCCCCUCCCCCCUGCGCUCGUUGGUCCUUUCCUUUCCCUCCUCUUCCGCCGCCCGCACCGGUCCGCUGCCGACCAGGGCGCGACGCAGGUGAAUCGAGGAGACCGAAGCAAGAAUCCCCAAGAAAACAACCUAAAUCCAAGCAACGAUUGAGGAAUCCGUACAUCGAGCUGCCCUGCUCCUUCAUCCUCUUCUUUCCCUCCUCUUCCGCCGCCCGUGCCAGUCCGCUAACGACCAGGGCGCCCCGCAGGUGAAUCGAGGACACAUAAGGAAAAGUCCCCAAGAAAACAACCCAAAUCCAAGCAGCGAAUGAGGAAUCUGUAGAUCCACUAAUGCUGCUUGAGUCCCCAGCUACCACUGGCAUCAGCUAGCUUCAGCAUCACCGUCGUCUUGCAUCAUAUAAGGAUAAACUAAUGCAGCUGAGGUCUAAGCGGAAGACCUGGGCGUGACAGGAGCUCAACUCGUGUUCUGUUUUCUGUCCAGUCAUUCUCCCUUCACAGAACUGUGAUUGUUUUUAACUUUUGUACAGCCUGGCUUGUCUGGAUGGUGUAAAGACCCUGAACCACUGGUUUCAAUAAGGUCCCAUUUGGAUUGUGGGAUACGAGAGGUGGGAUAAGGAAAUGAUGAUUUGGAAUUCAAUCCCAGCCAUCUAUCUCUCUUCCUAUCACACUCUUUUCCCAGUUGCCAAACACCAGCUAAGUGAUUCAGCAGACCAGUUGAGUGAUGUGGGAGAUGGGGAUGUCAAUCAAGAAUGUGAUCCUGGAAACAUGGACGAUAUGUAUGGUGGCGUGACAGUCAAUUCUGAGAUUGAUUCUUUGCCUGAUCCAAAGGACCAGGUUACCUGGCUGAAGUUGGAAUUGUGCCGAUUGCUAGAGGAGAGAAGAUCAGCUGUUCUCAGGUUUAUUUAUUCCUUUCUAGAUACUCCAAGCCUUCAUAUAACUAUUCUUAUGAUUAUGGCAACACACCGUCGGGAUAUAAUUCGAGAUAUGCUGGAAAUACAUAUUCCAGUUAUAACACGAGGUGACUGAAGCUUUGGCACAAGUAGGUCUUGAAUCUUCAAAUCUUAUUGUAGGCAUUGAUUUUACAAAGAGCAAUGAAUGGAUAGGUGAGGUGGGAACUUCUGGAAUUUGUCCUGAUACAGGCGAGAAGGUUGUGAGCAACUUUUGUAAGUUUGAUAUAUCCAAUACUAACCGUACAGGUUCAAAGGAAGACAAUGAACCUGGCCUUUGGUUAGGUUGCCGUGAAACUGAAGGUUCAAACUUCAUAUACCAUUGUGAUCUAAUCCCAUUUACAAGCAGACCCCUCUUUUUGGUGGUUGACAGUAGCGUCAGCUAUGCAUUCAAGGCAGGUUUGUUUAAUCUUUUUACCCUUCCUAGUCCCGAGCAACCACUACUAUAAUUCUGGGCAGUGAGGGCUGGGGACUUUUUCUUUCCCUCUUGUGAGUGGACUAUCCACAUUGUUGUAAUUGUUGGCCAUUCACUGAUAGACAGAUCUACAGUUGCUUGAAUUUAA